AUGAACGCUAGCUACAGGCUUAACACAUGCAAGUCGAGGGGCAUCAGGAAGAAAGCUUGCUUUCUUUGCUGGCGACCGGCGCACGGGUGAGUAACACGUAUCCAACCUGCCCUUUACUCGGGGAUAGCCUUUCGAAAGAAAGAUUAAUACCCGAUAGCAUAAUGAUUCCGCAUGGUUUCAUUAUUAAAGGAUUCCGGUAAAGGAUGGGGAUGCGUUCCAUUAGGUUGUUGGUGAGGUAACGGCUCACCAAGCCUUCGAUGGAUAGGGGUUCUGAGAGGAAGGUCCCCCACAUUGGAACUGAGACACGGUCCAAACUCCUACGGGAGGCAGCAGUGAGGAAUAUUGGUCAAUGGGCGCUAGCCUGAACCAGCCAAGUAGCGUGAAGGAUGAAGGCUCUAUGGGUCGUAAACUUCUUUUAUAUAAGAAUAAAGUGCAGUAUGUAUACUGUUUUGUAUGUAUUAUAUGAAUAAGGAUCGGCUAACUCCGUGCCAGCAGCCGCGGUAAUACGGAGGAUCCGAGCGUUAUCCGGAUUUAUUGGGUUUAAAGGGAGCGUAGGUGGACUGGUAAGUCAGUUGUGAAAGUUUGCGGCUCAACCGUAAAAUUGCAGUUGAUACUGUCAGUCUUGAGUACAGUAGAGGUGGGCGGAAUUCGUGGUGUAGCGGUGAAAUGCUUAGAUAUCACGAAGAACUCCGAUUGCGAAGGCAGCUCACUGGACUGCAACUGACACUGAUGCUCGAAAGUGUGGGUAUCAAACAGGAUUAGAUACCCUGGUAGUCCACACAGUAAACGAUGAAUACUCGCUGUUUGCGAUAUACAGUAAGCGGCCAAGCGAAAGCAUUAAGUAUUCCACCUGGGGAGUACGCCGGCAACGGUGAAACUCAAAGGAAUUGACGGGGGCCCGCACAAGCGGAGGAACAUGUGGUUUAAUUCGAUGAUACGCGAGGAACCUUACCCGGGCUUAAAUUGCAGUGGAAUGAUGUGGAAACAUGUCAGUGAGCAAUCACCGCUGUGAAGGUGCUGCAUGGUUGUCGUCAGCUCGUGCCGUGAGGUGUCGGCUUAAGUGCCAUAACGAGCGCAACCCUUAUCUUUAGUUACUAACAGGUCAUGCUGAGGACUCUGGAGAGACUGCCGUCGUAAGAUGUGAGGAAGGUGGGGAUGACGUCAAAUCAGCACGGCCCUUACGUCCGGGGCUACACACGUGUUACAAUGGGGGGUACAGAAGGCGGCUACCUGGUGACAGGAUGCUAAUCCCAAAAACCUCUCUCAGUUCGGAUCGAAGUCUGCAACCCGACUUCGUGAAGCUGGAUUCGCUAGUAAUCGCGCAUCAGCCAUGGCGCGGUGAAUACGUUCCCGGGCCUUGUACACACCGCCCGUCAAGCCAUGAAAGCCGGGGGUACCUGAAGUACGUAACCGCAAGGAGCGUCCUAGGGUAAAACUGGUAAUUGGGGCU
rnacentral:rRNA from 1 species